rnacentral:rRNA from 1 species
UACGUAGUGUGCACGCGUUGUCCGGAUUUAUUGGGCGUAAAGCGCUCGCAGGUGGUCCGUUGCGUCGUGCGUGAAAGACCCCGGCUCAACCGGGGAGGGUCGUGCGAUACGGGCAGGCUGGAGUUCGGUAGGGGAGACUGGAAUUCCUGGUGUAGCGGUGAAAUGCGCAGAUAUCAGGAGGAACACCGGUGGCGAAGGCGGGUCUCUGGGCCGAUACUGACGCUGAGGAGCGAAAGCGUGGGGAGCGAACAGG